CCUACGGGAGGCAGCAGUGGGGAAUUUUGCGCAAUGCGCGUAAGAGUGACGCAGCGACGCCGCGUGAAUGACGAAGGCCUUCGGGUCGUAAAGUUCUUUCGGCAGGGAAGAAAAUGCCUAUAAGUAACUGUGUAUGUAUUGACGGUUCCUGUCUAAGCAGCCCGGGCUAACUACGGGCCAGCAGCCUCGGUGAUACGUAGGGGGCAAGCGGUAUCCGGAUUUACUGGGUGUAAAGGGAGCGUAGACGGCAGCGCAAGUCUGGAGUGAAAUGCCAUGGCUUAACCAUGGAACUGCUUUGGAAACUGUGCAGCUGGAGUGCAGGAGAGGUAAGCGGAAUUCCUAGUGUAGCGGUGAAAUGCGUAGAUAUUAGGAGGAACACCAGUGGCGAAGGCGGCUUACUGGACUGUAACUGACGUUGAGGCUCGAAAGCGUGGGGAGCAAACAGGAUUAGAUACCCUUGUAGUC
rnacentral:rRNA from 1 species